rnacentral:rRNA from 1 species
UACGUAGGUGGCAAGCGUUGUCCGGAUUUACUGGGCGUAAAGAGCGCGCAGGCGGUCGUUCAAGUCGCGUGUGAAAGCCCCCGGCUCAACUGGGGAGGGUCACGCGAUACUGAUCGACUCGAAGGCAGGAGAGGGUAGUGGAAUUCCCGGUGUAGUGGUGAAAUGCGUAGAUAUCGGGAGGAACACCAGUGGCGAAGGCGGCAUCCUGGACCGGUAUUGACACUGAGGCGCGAAAGCCAGGGGAGCAAACGGG